rnacentral:rRNA from 1 species
AACGAACGCUGGCGGCAGGCCUAACACAUGCAAGUCGAGCGAGACCUUCGGGUCUAGCGGCGGACGGGUGAGUAACGCGUGGGAACGUGCCCUUUUCUACGGAAUAGCCUCGGGAAACUGAGCGUAAUACCGUAUACGUCCUUUGGGGGAAAGAUUUAUCGGAGAAGGAUCGGCCCGCGUUGGAUUAGGUAGUUGGUGGGGUAAUGGCCUACCAAGCCUACGAUCCAUAGCUGGUUUGAGAGGAUGAUCAGCCACACUGGGACUGAGACACGGCCCAGACUCCUACGGGAGGCAGCAGUGGGGAAUCUUAGACAAUGGGGGCAACCCUGAUCUAGCCAUGCCGCGUGAGUGAUGAAGGCCUUAGGGUUGUAAAGCUCUUUCAGCUGGGAAGAUAAUGACGGUACCAGCAGAAGAAGCCCCGGCUAACUCCGUG